rnacentral:rRNA from 1 species
CCUACGGGUGGCAGCAGUGGGGAAUAUUGGACAAUGGGCGAAAGCCUGAUCCAGCCAUGCCGCGUGUGUGAAGAAGGCCUUCGGGUUGUAAAGCACUUUCAGUGGGGAAGAAAGCCUUGGGGCUAAUACCCUCGAGGAAGGACAUCACCCACAGAAGAAGCACCGGCUAACUCCGUGCCAGCAGCCGCGGUAAUACGGAGGGUGCGAGCGUUAAUCGGAAUUACUGGGUGUAAAGCGCGCGUAGGCGGUCUGAUAAGCCGGUUGUGAAAGCCCCGGGCUCAACCUGGGAACGGCAUCCGGAACUGUCAGGCUAGAGUGCAGGAGAGGAAGGUAGAAUUCCCGGUGUAGCGGUGAAAUGCGUAGAGAUCGGGAGGAAUACCAGUGGCGAAGGCGGCCUUCUGGACUGACACUGACGCUGAGGUGCGAAAGCGUGGGUAGCAAACAGGAUUAGAUACCCCGGUAGUC